AUGAUGAGAAGAAGAAAGAACUUGAAACAGAAAGGACCAAGGAAGAGCAACUCUCAAAGAAGCGACGGAGAGAAGAGAGACGAGAAAAGUACCGUGUGCAGGAUAAAAUGAAUAAGAAAAGCCGCAGGGAUACUUAGUCCUGAAACAGUUCUAUCUACUCGGAUAAUUGGGCCAAUCUUGCUGGACGAACUGAGCAUGAUUGAUUGCCAAACUGGCUUCAUAUCAUUUAGUGGCGACUUUGCAGCAUCAGUGGUGACUUGUUGUAAUCAGCUUGCGAUGAGGUGUGACUUUAACGUGUUUGACCAAACACUGGAUAGUUUGCUAUCCUUGGCCUCUACAGCCUCGCGGUGUACCAUGGUCUAUACAACCCAAAAUGAAAAAAUAUUGGCCAUUUUUUGUAGUUUAGUGAAGUGAUUAUUAUUUAUCAAGGUGAUUCUAUAGAAAGAUGUACUAAUCACAUGAACAUACAAUUCAAUGCUUUGCUUGUGUUUUUUUGUUGGAAAUUCCCGGAAACCCUGCUGCCCCUUUCAGGUGCAAAU
rnacentral:misc_RNA from 1 species